UUUGAAAUCAAAGUGCCUGACUCUGCUGUUUCUUUCGAGCAGGGAGGGGCAGUGUCACUUUUCUCAUAGCAGGCUGCAAGAUGACUUUAAUGAGCCAAAGUAAUUAAAAUGAGAAUUUAGCUCUGAUUGUUGCCUGUUGCCCCAUUCCCCGCCCCACCCCCCACCCUGUUCCCUGUGGACUGAGCAAAGAGGAAUGAAAUUAUGAAAACCCACUAAUUAACACUAUUUGCAUGCGCAGGCCGCUUGUGGAUCUCUCCCCUCCGAGGCACUGCUGAGCAUUAGCUUGGAGGACGCAUUUGAGUGCUACGGAGGUCGCACCAACCGGAGUGAAGGAUAUUUUAUUGACAAUAGCUUUACCAGAUCCUCAGGCUGAGGCAGUAGACCCUAACCGUUUGCACUUGACUCUGU
rnacentral:lncRNA from 1 species